rnacentral:rRNA from 1 species
CCUAGGAAUCUGCCUGGUAGUGGGGGAUAACGUUCGGAAACGGACGCUAAUACCGCAUACGUCCUACGGGAGAAAGCAGGGGACCUUCGGGCCUUGCGCUAUCAGAUGAGCCUAGGUCGGAUUAGCUAGUUGGUGGGGUAAUGGCUCACCAAGGCGACGAUCCGUAACUGGUCUGAGAGGAUGAUCAGUCACACUGGAACUGAGACACGGUCCAGACUCCUACGGGAGGCAGCAGUGGGGAAUAUUGGACAAUGGGCGAAAGCCUGAUCCAGCCAUGCCGCGUGUGUGAAGAAGGUCUUCGGAUUGUAAAGCACUUUAAGUUGGGAGGAAGGGUUGUAGAUUAAUACUCUGCAAUUUUGACGUUACCGACAGAAUAAGCACCGGCUAACUCUGUGCCAGCAGCCGCGGUAAUACAGAGGGUGCAAGCGUUAAUCGGAAUUACUGGGCGUAAAGCGCGCGUAGGUGGUUUGUUAAGUUGGAUGUGAAAUCCCCGGGCUCAACCUGGGAACUGCAUUCAAAACUGACUGACUAGAGUAUGGUAGAGGGUGGUGGAAUUUCCUGUGUAGCGGUGAAUGCGUAGAUAUAGGAAGGAACAUCAGUGGCGAAGGCGACCACCUGGACUAAUACUGACACUGAGGUGCGAAAGCGUGGGGGAGCAAACAGGAUUAGAUACCCUGGUAGUCCACGCCUGUAAACGAUGUUCAACUAGCUCGUUGGGAAGCCUUGAGCUUUUAGUGGC